UACGUAGGGUGCGAGCGUUGUCCGGAAUUACUGGGCGUAAAGAGCUCGUAGGUGGUUUUGUCGCGUUGUUCGUGAAAUCUCACGGCUUAACUGUGAGCGUGCGGGCGAUACGGGCAGACUAGAGUACUGCAGGGGAGACUGGAAUUCCUGGUGUAGCGGUGGAAUGCGCAGAUAUCAGGAGGAACACCGGUGGCGAAGGCGGGUCUCUGGGCAGUAACCGACGCUGAGGAGCGAAAGCGUGGGGGAGCGAACAGG
rnacentral:rRNA from 1 species